rnacentral:rRNA from 1 species
CCAGACUCCUACGGGAGGCAGCAGUGGGGGAUAUUGCACAAUGGGGGAAACCCUGAUGCAGCGACGCCGCGUGGGCGAAGAAGUAUUUCGGUAUGUAAAGCCCUAUCAGCAGGGAAGAAGAAAUGACGGUACCUGAGUAAGAAGCACCGGCUAACUACGUGCCAGCAGCCGCGGUAAUACGUAGGGGGCGAGCGUUAUCCGGAUUCACUGGGUGUAAAGGGAGCGUAGACGGCCAAGCAAGCCAGGGGUGAAAGCCCGGGGCCCAACCCCGGGACUGCCCUUGGAACUGCACGGCUGGAGUGCGGGAGGGGCAGGCGGAAUUCCUGGUGUAGCGGUGAAAUGCGUAGAUAUAAGGAGGAACACCGGCGGCGAAGGCGGCCUGCUGGACCGCGACUGACGUUGAGGCUCGAAAGCGUGGGGAGCGAACAGGAUUAGAUACCCUAGUAACA